GAAUCUUUGAACGCACAUUGCGCCCUCUGGUAUUCCGGAGGGCAUGCCUGUUCGAGCGUC
rnacentral:rRNA from 1 species